rnacentral:rRNA from 1 species
UACAGAGGGUGCGAGCGUUAAUCGGAAUUACUGGGCGUAAAGCGCGCGUAGGCGGCUUUGCAAGUUAGAGGUGAAAGCCCGGGGCUCAACCCCGGAACUGCCUUUAAGACUGCAUCGCUUGAAUCCAGGAGAGGUGAGUGGAAUUCCGAGUGUAGAGGUGAAAUUCGUAGAUAUUCGGAAGAACACCAGUGGCGAAGGCGGCUCACUGGACUGGUAUUGACGCUGAUGUGCGAAAGCGUGGGGAGCAAACAGG